rnacentral:rRNA from 1 species
UACAGAGGGGCCAAGCGUUGUUCGGAAUUACUGGGCGUAAAGAGCGUGUAGGCGGCCCGGUAAGUCCGCUGUGAAAGUCGGGGGCUCAACCCUCGAAUGCCGGUGGAUACUGCUGGGCUAGAGUGCGGGAGAGGCGAGUGGAAUUCCUGGUGUAGCGGUGAAAUGCGCAGAUAUCAGGAGGAACACCGAUUGCGAAGGCAGCUCGCUGGAACGUGACUGACGCUGAGACGCGAAAGCGUGGGGAGCAAACAGG